UACAGAGGUCUCAAGCGUUGUUCGGAUUCAUUGGGCGUAAAGGGCGCGUAGGCUGCGGGGCAAGUCGGGUGUGAAAUCUCAGAGCUCAACUCUGAAACUGCACUCGAUACUGCUUUGCUCGAGGACUGGAGAGGAGAUUGGAAUUCACGGUGUAGCAGUGAAAAUGCGUAGAUAUCGUGAGGAAGACCAGUGGCGAAGGCGGAUCUCUGGACAGUUCCUGACGCUGAGGCGCGAAAGCGUGGGGGAGCAAACAGG
rnacentral:rRNA from 1 species